AUGUUGUAACCCUUUUUGGGAAAAAAAAAAUUUUGUUUCGUAAAUAAAAAAAUUUAUUUUAAUAAAACUUUAGUAAUUAUGUUACCCGAAGAUAUAGCCGUCUUGCCACUUGAAGAGGCAACUAAUUUGUUUUUCAACGGUAAUUUUGGAAAACUUAUACGAAACAUGGAAAAUAUCAUAGACGAGAGAAGUUUGAUAUUCAUUAUUAUUCCAUCCGUUGAACCCCAACUUAUGGAAGUUUACCUUUUUCAACGUGAUUUCGAUACAGCUGUUAUGCAUGAUCAUAUCUGUUGUAGGGAAAUGGAUGUGCAGCUCUUCAAUAGAUUAGAAUUAUUUCGAAUUUCUCGCAUAUAUAGUUCCGCUACAUGGAUUAAUCCUGGCUUGAUUCAAACUCUCGCUGACACAAUGACCUGAAAUUGCAUUCCCAAGUGUUCAAGCAGAAGUGGAUCAUCUUCUCUAGGGUAAAGAUGAAAUAUGGUUUUUACAUUAUAUAAAGAUUAAAUAAAUUUUAUUUACGACGCAUUAAAAUAAUU